UGUGUCAAGGCAGAUCUUCUCCAGUAGCUGCUUCAGUGCAUGCCCUGUAGUAAUUUUCACAUUAUUUCGGGCACAUAUCUGAACUCCAGUCAC